UUGCGUCUCAUUUAUCACGCAAACCAAACUCAAAAUUGCGUCAAUAUAAGGACGCAUUCUCUUUUAUGUCACACAUGCGCAGUGGCCACUCUGCUGUCUGGAGCCCCCCUGACAUCUUUGUAGCCUAAUUUACUGAAAAAUAAGCCGUUAUUCAUGUUGCUCCACAUAACCGCGUAUUGCAACUUCAUAAUUAAAUCCCCACAACAAAAUACUGAGCUUAUGGGCUAUUUUAGUCACAUUUUAGUUCCUAGACAAAAGUCUGUUUUGCUAGGAUAUUAAUAAAAUAACAGAAACUGUUUUAUCCUAUACGAGAGCAUUUGUAGUAUUUGUCCAGAAGACUUUUGUGGCUGAAAACCAUUCAACCAGUAAGGUUUUUGAAAUAUUCAUUGUAAAUAACCCUGAUGUACCCCCACUGUUUAUGAUGAUGUCAUUUCAUCGCGACCUCCAUGCAUUGGAUUGUGGAUUUGAUUGUACUGCCUGCAGUCUGAUGUGGUUUGGCUGAGCUUUAUUCAUCAAUUGUUUUACGUCUCCAGUUUUCCCUGAGGUCCAAAAUAUUCAGUGGAGUGAAACUGUUGAUGGCAGCAAAAUGUAACAAGCUUGUCCUGGAGGACUGCUCUGAUGGGGAAUGCUGUGGAGGAGAGACAGGCAGACUGUGGUCCAUCGUGUGUGCUCCCAGUGCGUUAAUACACGGACAGUCCUUUUUAAGUGCAACCAGAGGAAUAAUGUGAUUGAGAGGAAGAGUGGCCCCAUACAUUGCUUGACCUGGAGCCUACCAAAGUCUAAGGUCUCAGGUGUCUCCAGAAGAACACAUCCCAAUGAAGACCCCAGUCAUAGUCAUCAACUUGACAGCUCAGCC